rnacentral:tRNA from 1 species
GCAUUAUUGGUCUAGUGGUAGAAUUCAUCGUUGCCAUCGAUGAGGCCCGUGUUCGAUUCACGGAUGAUGCACAA